rnacentral:ncRNA from 1 species
AUGGCAUAACUGUGCUAUAGCAAGAUUGUCUAGCACAGGAUCUCAGCUGCAUACCGCAUAUUUAGAAGGUUCGCAGGUCGAAAAGCUGGAGGUGGCCUAAUGGCCAGCAGUGGAGAGCGAGCAAAGUGACGCGCAUGACUGGAUUAAAGAGACCGCCACUGUCCCUACUUACUAUGUGGCGAAACCACAGUCAAGAAAACGGGCUUGGCAAACAUAGCGGAAAAAGAAGAUGCUGUUGAAUUUGACUUUAUUCCAACUCUGUGAAGAAUAAUGAGAGGCGUAGCACAACUGGAAGGCAUUUCGUCGCCAGUGAAAUACCACUGCUUUCUUCGAUUUUUUACUUAUUUGAUAAAACAAGAAUUGAGAUGAAACAGUCUCGAGAUUUUCGAUUUAUGUACUAUUCCGUGGCCGUACGACUGCGCCGAAAACAGUGUCAGGCGAGGAGCUUGACCGGGGCGAUACAUCUGUCAAAACGUAACGCAGGUGUAAAGCUAGCUCAGAGAGAACGGAAACCUCUCGUAGAGCAAAGGGGCAAAAGUUCGCUUGAUCUUGAUUUCCAGUACGAAUACAGACCACGAAAGCAUGGCGUAUCGAUUCUUUUGAAUUAGAAAGUUUCUAGCAAGAGGUGUCAGAAAAAUUACUACAGGAAUAAUUAGCUCGGGGCAGCCAAGUGUCCAUAGCGAAGUUGCUUUUUGAUCCUUUGAUACCAGCUCUUUCUAUCGUUGCGAAGCAGAAUUCACCAAGCGUUGGACUGUUCACCCACCAAUAAGGAACGUGAACUGAGUUUAGGUCGUCGUAGACAGGUUAGUUUUACCCUACUACGAAAAGUUGUUGCGACAGUAAUUCUGCCCAGUACAAGUGAGAGAAACCGUAGGUUCAGUCAUCUGGUUCAUUUACUUCACCGAUCGGCCAAUGGUACGAUGCUACCAUCUAAGGGAUUAUGACAGACUUGGACUAGGUCAGAAUCCCGUGACGUGAUAUGGUGCAGAAGCGCGCUUCCCCUUCAAACUUUGACGCGGUCGUACGCACUUCGCAAGCGUGCGCGAAAGCUGAAUUUGAAAUCUUUAUGCACAUAGAAUAUCCCUACAUGGUUUCAGCCUUGUACUUUGCCUGGUUCGCGAAAUCGUUUCCCACCGAAGGAGUUUGCACAUUUUGGAGGAUGUACCAUACGCGGGGUCUAGGCGCGUGUGAGGGAAGAUCUUAAAACGGGAGGCUGACAUACGGGGUAGGAACGUAUACCUAAAAUUUCAGCCUCCCAGUUUCCCUGG